rnacentral:lncRNA from 1 species
CCCUUUCUGAGAAAAGCUGGGGGAAGGGGAACGAGUGUUCAGUCAGUUGCAUCAGAAUGCCUUGCACAAGACACUCUCCUGGAUAGACACAGCUCUGCCUCCAGCCUCUACCCCACCCUGCUGACCUUGGACCCCAGUGAGAACUUGUCACUCUCCCCCUCCAACCCAGAGGCUCCAUUCAGUAUGCAUCUAUCCAUCCAUCCAGUCAAACAGCAAUGACACCAUACACAUUGACUCAUUCGUUAGACAAACAUUUGUUGAACACUUCCACUUGCUAGGCUCUGUUCUAAAGACUGGGGAGGCUGCAAAGAGAAUAACAGCUAAAAACAUGGGCUUACAUGUCAUGCCAGGUGCUGGAGGGAAAGGGAAAAGAAGACCCAGUGAAGGGAGGGUAGGGACCGGGACACCAGGAGACCUACUGGUGGCAGGAAGGCAACCCUGCAGGCUAGGCCACUGCUGCAAAGAUACCUUGGGCUGUUGGCAUGGGGCAAGAUGGUGGCUGUGGUAAAUGAGGUCUGAGGAAAGUUCAGACCAUCUGGAGCUUUGGAG